rnacentral:misc_RNA from 1 species
GUAUUGUAUUGCGUUAGACGCGUCAUGCAUUCCAUGAAACUUUAUUACAGUGUGUGUGUAAAGACGUAGGACCACAGCAAGAGGACAGAGCCCCCCAGGCCAUAGAACUACAGUGGGUGCACAGGUGUGAGUGGAUGUGUAAACAGAGCGUGCACAUGCCCCCAUUUGAGGACCAGCAACAACUCGUGUCGACAAUUCGGUAAUGAUCCUUCCGCAGGUUCACCUACGGAAA